rnacentral:tRNA from 1 species
AGAGAUGUAGCUCAGUAGCAGAGAGCUUGCCUAGCAUGCAGGAGGCCCUAGGUUCAAUCCCUAGUACUACAA